AUGGAUGUCUCUCAGCUUGUUAGUUGUAAAAACAAGAUGGAUUCUACACUACAAACAGCUCUCCCUUCAGACAGCACCUAUUGUUCUAGGAACAGUUUAUGUAAGGAUCCACGUCGCAUACACAAUUUCGCUGUGGAAUUUGGAAAUUUGAUUGUUGGGGACAUCUCCCGCGAUCUUUCAAAUAUUGGAUUGGAGCUGAGGUCAUGGAUGGAGUUGCACUUGUUGACACCAAAUGAUAAAGUGAUUGAAAGUUUUUCGCUUAUGCGAAAGCAAAUGCUGGAUCUAGAUAAUUUAACAGCCACACGGAGCGCUUAUCCUAUCUACAAUCCUGUUGAGGAUAGCAGCAGGCGAUUUUUGGCAAGCUUUAGAAGUGUUUCAGAAAUACUUAAAGCAGCCAAAGAAUUUGCAAAACAAUCAUCUUUUGAUCAUGAAAAGGCUCGAACCUUUCUUGCGCCAAGAGAUAAUUUUGGUGCUUCACAACUAGCUGAAUUCCAUGCAACUAAGAGUCUAGACGGUCAGAAUAAAGAUGAAGGAGGUAGUGCUAUCGAGAAGCAAAAUUUCAGAUUACAUAGCGAUGAUACAAUGAGGAAAUUGCUCGAUUGGCCUCGACGCCUUCAGUCGGAGAAAAAUAACUAA
rnacentral:rRNA from 1 species